UACGUAGGGCGCAAGCGUUGUCCGGAAUUAUUGGGCGUAAAGAGCUCGUAGGCGGCUUGUCACGUCGGAUGUGAAAGCCCGAGGCUUAACCUCGGGUCUGCAUUCGAUACGGACUAGCUAGAGUGUGGUAGGGGAGAUCGGAAUUCCUGGUGUAGCGGUGAAAUGCGCAGAUAUCAGGAGGAACACCGGUGGCGAAGGCGGAUCUCUGGGCCAUUACUGACGCUGAGGAGCGAAAGCGUGGGGAGCGAACAGG
rnacentral:rRNA from 1 species